rnacentral:rRNA from 1 species
AUUGAACGCUGGCGGCAGGCCUAACACAUGCAAGUCGAGCGGAUGAAGGGAGCUUGCUCCUGGAUUCAGCGGCGGACGGGUGAGUAAUGCCUAGGAAUCUGCCUGGUAGUGGGGGAUAACGUCCGGACACGGGCGCUAAUACCGCAUACGUCCUGAGGGAGAAAGUGGGGGAUCUUCGGACCUCACGCUACCAGAUGAGCCUAGGUCGGAUUAGCUAGUUGGUGGGGUAAAGGCCUACCAAGGCGACGAUCCGUAACUGGUCUGAGAGGAUGAUCAGUCACACUGGAACUGAGACACGGUCCAGACUCCUACGGGAGGCAGCAGUGGGGAAUAUUGGACAAUGGGCGAAAGCCUGAUCCAGCCAUGCCGCGUGUGUGAAGAAGGUCUUCGGAUUGUAAAGCACUUUAAGUUGGGAGGAAGAGCAGUAAGUUAAUACCUUGCUGUUUUGACGUUACCAACAGAAUAAGCACCGGCUAACUUCGUG